UACGAAGGGGGCUAGCGUUGUUCGGAAUCACUGGGCGUAAAGCGCACGUAGGCGGAUUGUUAAGUCGGGGGUGAAAUCCUGAGGCUCAACCUCAGAACUGCCUUCGAUACUGGCAAUCUCGAGUCCGGAAGAGGUUGGUGGAACAGCUAGUGUAGAGGUGAAAUUCGUAGAUAUCAAGCGGAACACCGGUGGCGAAGGCGGCCUUCUGGACAGUGACUGACGCUGAGACGCGAAAGCGUGGGGAGCAAACAGG
rnacentral:rRNA from 1 species